UCUUCACCCUGCUCCUCCCUUGCUUGGUCGCUCGGCUGGCCCGGCUCACCUUCGGGGUGACGGCUAGCAGCGAGCAUUAUAGCAGACGACUUUAAUAAAUGCAGGCGGCAGGAGGAACUCUGGGAACUUGGGCGCCCUUGCCUGGCAGUAGGGGUUGAAUUAUCCAGAUCUGAAAUACUUUUCAGAGCCGAGGGGUGAUACGCUCUGCAAAAGCACUUUUUGCACCUCUCCCUUACGCCAAUACUCGCAGACUGUGCGCACAAGUCAUAUUCAGUAUUAAAUACAAACCGAUCUGUAAUUCAAUGGCUCUAGCAAGACGCCUCUGAGAGGGCCAGGUGGCGGGUGCAAGUUGCUCAUUAACCCUUCAGAGUCGCGGUUUGCAGAUCUGAGUUAGAUCCCUGGCUUUAAGGUCGUUCAGUUGCCCUCCUCCCCCUCUCCCCGCCGCCACUGCGAGAAAAAUGUGCAAAGAGAAGGAAAUUUGCACAUCAAACGAGGGGCAAUCGCGGCAGUAGAUGAACUUGAUUAGGCAGACGCCUGAGAUCAAAGUGGCCGGGGCCAAAGCGGACAGGGUCCAACGUACCGGAUACUAGGUCAUGGAGAAGCAAGAAAAAGGUGCAGGAACUGUGACCAACACGCCUCAGGAAGGAGAGAAGGUUCUGGUGAUUGUCUGAGUCUCUCUUACAGCUGGGUGACAGAGGAGGUGUGAGCCAGGGUAGGUGAAUUUAGUUUAUUAAACUGAGUUUAUUUAGUCCUGUAGGGAACCCUGCCUCCUAUUCAAUCUGGUAUA